AGAGUUUGAUCAUGGCUCASAUUGAACGCUGGCGGCGUGCUUAACACAUGCAAGUCGAACGAGAAAGGGACUUCSGUCCUGAGUAGAGUGGCGCACGGGUGAGUAACGCGUAGGUAAUCUACCUCUGCAUCUGGGAUAACACUUCSAAAGGGGUGCUAAUACCGGAUACACUUAUGGAUCGCAAGAUCUAUAAGGAAAGGAGACCUCUCCUUGGAAGUUUCUGUGUAGAGAUGAGCCUGCGUCCCAUUAGCUAGUUGGCAGGGUAAUGGCCUACCAAGGCGACGAUGGGUAGCGGGUCUGAGAGGAUGAUCCSCCACACUGGAACUGAAACACGGACCAGACUCCUACGGGAGGCAGCAGUGAGGAAUAUUGGACAAUGGGCGCAAGCCUGAUCCAGCGACGCCGCGUGAGUGAUGAAGGCCUUUGGGUCGUAAAGCUCUGUCAGCAGGGAAGAACGGCCGUGUGGUUAAUACCCAUGCGGAUUGACGGUACCUGCAGAGGAAGCAC
rnacentral:rRNA from 1 species